CCUACGGGAGGCAGCAGGGGGGAAUAUUGCACAAUGGACGAAAGUCUGAUGCAGCAACGCCGCGUGGAGGAUGACACAUUUCGGUGCGUAAACUCCUUUUAUAUAGGAAGAUAAUGACGGUACUAUAUGAAUAAGCACCGGCUAACUCCGUGCCAGCAGCCGCGGUAAU
rnacentral:rRNA from 1 species